ensembl:lncRNA
UGAAGGGCUUUUUUGUGAAAAGGUAAGUGUGGCGUGUGUUUGCACAAGCUUUAGCGUGCUACAUGUGUUUGUUUGUGUUAAUCCGCAUGAUGUUUUUUUCAGGUGAUACGAGUCAGUAGCUGAAUCAGGUCAGUGAUAAUCUAAUAUUUCCCCUCAUCUGGACAAUAAAGGUCAAUGCUGUACCUAGACAGCCCCAGGAUACCUACUGUACCACACUGUGUGUGUGUGUGUGUGUGUGUGUGUGUGUGAGUGUGUGUUGCAAUGGUACACCAGAAUUUACAGACAAAAUGCUUUUGAAUUGUUUUCAUAUGAUCCAUGUUAUGAAUUUGAAUGCUUUCUGCAGUCAGAUUCACCCAGUUAGGUCAAUGUUGCAGUACUGUUGCAGCCAUCACUGUAUGUCAUCCAACAAGAGUCUGUCAAUAUUAAUACUUACAGUGUAGUAGUUUUUGAUUGACAGAAGCAUCUUUUGUUUUGUUUUUAAAGUUCUCACAAAGAUUUAGUCAUUAAAGUAACAUUUUUUUCCAACCCUUUUCAUUCAGAACAUUUGUGAAAUACACAGUUACAUGCUGUUAAAUACUGUAUAUAUAACAUGUGUUAUCAUAAUAACCCAUUAAAUCAAAUAAUAAUAAAUAAACAAUAGAAAAAUAUACCUUUAGGGGCACUUUUAAGGUUUCAGUCAAAUGUUACGGGCAUAUGGCAGUUUUGUUUUCCGAGUAUGUUUCCACGCAGAGCAGCUGAUACUCCCAACCCUAUAGUGUUUCACAAUACUUGGGAUCAGGAAAAACAGAACGAAAUCACCAUGAAAUCUUAAACCUACUAUAUGAAAACCUUUGAUGUAUCUUCUGUUUCAGAGGGAAAUUACAGAUGCUGGUUGAUGCAGCAUGAGACAAAGACAACCGUGUGUGUAUGUGUGUGUGUGCGUGUUCAUCUGGUGUUGCUCUUGCUUGACUGACAAAUCAAUGGACUUCAGGAGUUACGAAUCAAAGCAGGGGGAAGAACAAAACCCACCACACACAGAUCAGAGGGCUGUGUUCUCCAGGACAGAGAGGGGUCUUCUGGGUACUGGCAGUCCUGACAAGCAUAAAAUUGUGUUAUGUACAGUUAUUUGCCUAGGCUGUUGUUUAUACUGAGAAAAAACACUCUUAUAUGUUUUCAGUGGUGUUUACUCAUACUAAAAUACUCUGACAGUGUCAUUCAGCAGUGACAUGACACCGCUUCUAAAUCAACAGCAUGAAAUAGAGAGCAUAGUGUAGUUUGAUUCCUGAAUGAACAACUCUGGUUCUUAAUGAAUCAAAAAAUUGUAGUGUGACCAGUAUAGUCUGAUUCCAAAUGAAUAUAUCUUUAGAGACUGUUUUUAAAUCAAAAAUAUACAGUGCGACCUGUCUAGUCCUGAUCCUGAAUGAAAUGACUCUUAUGAGUUGACUCGUUUUAGUGAAUCACAUACUUAGAAUCCAGCCAGUACAGUUCAAUUCCCGAACAAAUCCCUCUUAUGAACCAGUACUUUUUAGCGAUUUAAAAAGAUGCAGCACAGCUAGUCCAAUUCUGAAAAAAAUCCAUCUUUUUUGAGCCUGUUUUGUGAAUCAGAAAUAUACAGCACAAAAGCAGUAUAGUCUGGAACCCGAAUGAAAUGACUCUUAUGGGUUUAGUGAAUCAUGUACUUAUAGCACCACCAGUGUAGUUUUAAUUUAUGAAUCACUCUUAUGAACUGGUUCGUUUUAGUGAUGCUGCAAAGUCCGACUCCCAAACGAACAACUCUUAUGAUUCAAUUCUUUUUAAUGAAUCAAACACAUUUAGCAUGGCCAGUGUAAUUAAAUUUUGAAGGAACCAGUCUUCUGAGCCAGUUUUGUAAAUCACAAAUAAACAGUGUGACCAGUGUAGACCA